rnacentral:lncRNA from 1 species
GAGCGCUUCUGAAAAGAGUCCCGAGUUUAAAUACAUGUUAGGUUAGGCUGGAGAAGAGAAAACAUUAACACCUCAUUAGCAACAAUCAACUAAGGAACU